rnacentral:lncRNA from 1 species
UAAAAGAAAAAAAAAAUCAAUUUCAUCUCUCUUUCAUCUCACUUCCAAAGUUUGUCAACAAAAAGAAAAUAAAAAGAGAAAAACAAAGAAAGAGAUAGUGUGAGAAUGUAGGUUCGGAUCAGCCACAAAUCAGGAGAAAGUGUGAUUUUGUUUAAGCUUCAUAACUCUUGGGGAGAAGAAGAAGGAUAUCAUAAAUCAAAGGUAUUUUAAAAGAAGUUAAAAUAAAUUGCAUAACAGUAAUUGCCAAUCAAGGUAUGUUUCCUUAACUCAAACUCGAGUUAUUAUCUUUCAAGCAUGUUAGUGGAUAAUUAUUGCUGGUUAUUCACAUCCAUAAUGAUUAUUGUUAUUCGUACAUAGUGCAAUUGAUUCAUGUUCUAUUAUUUGAACUGUAUACGAGCCAUGUCUCAGUUAUUUGUUUUGGUAAGACUAAUAUUUGUUAAAGCAUGAAACGUUCUAUUUAUUAUGAACUGAUUUAUUAUUAGAAGAUCUAUGUCAUUUAUUUCGGCUAGAUUAAUAUGGAUAUUAUAUGUUGAAAUCAUAGUAUUUCUUUAAAAGCAAUCCAAACGAUAUUGUUGUGGUACAUACUCAUGAUUUAAGACUGAGAAAAUGAACAACCCUUAUAAAAAGGGGAACUUUAUCGUCGGACAUCUGACACUUGUGCUAUUUUUGAGUAUUAUGCAUAAUAUAGAGUACAAUGAGGCUGAUCACUUCAUGUACUCGCAAAAGAGUAUGAUUUAAUCUUUAUGGUUAACUGAUACUCUUGAGGUAAUUCAAUAUUAAUUAACUGAUAAUUCCUCUAUUAGUUCUUGAUCCAUUUGUGAUCACUCAGCAUGAAAUCUGGGAAUAUUUUACUUUAAUGAAUAUUGUUUCAUUAUUGCUAAUUGUUCCUAAUCAAAUGAAUAUUAUUGAAUCUUCAAACGAAUUUAAUUUUUUCAUUCUUGAAAUGUUAUUUAUUCUGGAAUUUAAGAAAAUUUUUGUUCUUGAAAAUGAUUUAUUGUUCAGCUACUUUGAAAUCUUUUGAACAUUGUUGACAAUAUAGAAAGUAUAAGACCCCAACUUUUAUGAAUAAAGAUUAAUUUUCUCUAAAUAUCAUUUUGAAUAUUAUGGUGUGGAUUUGAUAUUAUGUUAUAGUUGUGAGUAAUAUUUAUAAAUUUUGCAAAGUAAGCAAGUUGUCAUAAAAUAUUCGAUUGGUUGGGAAAUAUUCGUUUUAUCAGGGAAUAUUCGUACGACGGCUCAAUCAUUGGUGGACCCCACAACAAAAUUAUUGUCUAAGUCAGAAAAUGACAUAAAUAACUUUUUAUAAAAAUAACGGCGAAAUUUUUACGUUAACUGUUGAAAUACCCGGUGAUAAAAGUACAGUAAUACGCGUGGUUGUAUAGUAGCACACAAUAUUUGAUGCUUGCGUGAGAAGUCACUCAGUUAUACUCAAUUAUUGCUACAGUAAUUGCUGAUAGUAUCUCACAUUAUUGAUUUAAUUAUUGUCACAAUAUCAUCUGCACAAUAUUUUAUAUUAUUAAAUCAAUAAUUGAGAUGACAAAGUUAUUCAUAUUAUUAUUUGUAAUAUUGACAAUGUCUAGAAAGUUAUGUCGAGGAAAGGGGUUUGGUCACCUAAUUCCGCGCCAAUAGGGAGAAAUCCUUAUCGGAAAGCCUCCUCUUUCAUGGAAAUGAUCUGGUUGUUAAUAUUGUGAGUUAUAAUAUUAAUGAUGAAUGUUAUUAAAAAUAUGUUUUGAGAAGCCAAGUGAAUUGAGAUAAAUAGAGGGGGUUUUAUUGAAGUAUUUUUUUGUACAUUUGGCCUAUUAUAUGGACCCCACUUACCCAUUUUCAAAAUAUCCGGGAGAAGUUAUCUCAAUUUUGUUAUAUAUAUAUAUAUAUAUAUAUAUNNNNNNNNNNNNNNNNNNNNNNNNNNNNNNNNNNNNNNNNNNNNNNNNNNNNNNNNNNNNNNNNNNNNNNNNNNNNNNNNNNNNNNNNNNNNNNNNNNNNUAUUAGUAAUAUAUUAUUAUUAUUGUUAUUGUUGUUAUUAUUAGUAUGAUUAUUAUUAUUAUUAUUAUAUAUAUAUAUAUAUAUAUAUAUAUAUAUUAUAAUAAGUUUUGUUUUUUUUUAUGAAAAAUAGAAUAUAUUAUAUUUUAUUAUGCAUAGUAUGUGCAUAGUGUCUACAUAGUGUUUGCACAAUAAAUCAGAAAAAUCAAAAAUUCAGUCGGCGAAUUCGCGCCCAUGAGAAAAAUCCUGUUCACCCGUGAAUUAGUUUCAAAUACUAUCAUUCCAUUAUCCUAUAAAUAGGAUGCUUAGCUUAGAAUUGAAAAUCACAUAAGAAUCAGAGAAUUCUUCUUCUAUAAUAUUGAAUGUAUUUCUUUAGAGUUUAAGGAAGCUUUGACUGUAAAAAAUAGUGUAAGUUUUCUUCAAGAAUAUAUCCGCUAUACUAGUCCAUACCAAUCAGAAAUACUCUCCUUUUAAGGUAAGGGAUAUUAUUUUUGUUUAAUAUUCGUAUGAAAUAAUAUUUUCUUCCAUACUCUGUAGUAUGUAAGUAAUAUUGUUUCGUCUGAGAUUCCAAAUUCGACACUCAUUUUGUUAAGUAUUUUACUAUACUCCUUGAAAUUAGUAGAAUAUCCUUGAAAUUUGCGCUUCAUCUAAUAUCUUUUCACGAAAUAUUAUUAUGAACAUUCUUGAUAAUUCUUAGUCUUUUCAUGUCGGGGUACUAUUUCACGAGGUAUUAUUCUCGAAGUACUAUUCACUCAGUUACUAUUCACCCAGGGUACUAUUCAUGACAAACAAUUGAUUUCUUUUCUGUCAAAAUCAUUUUUGAUACAAUAUUAUUCUUGAAUUUUACUCCACAAAGCAGUAUCAUGUUGACAAUUUGGACAUUAUUGAAUUCUGGAUUAAUUGAAUUAUAAAUCUUUAAAAUUUAUCCUUGCUUUCAUUUAAUUGAAUUCUUAUAUCAUUGUCAUCAUCCUCAUGCUUAUAUUGUGAUGAAAGUCAUCUUUGACCCGUAGUGCAUAGAUGGACUAUUGAUUGGUACGAUUAUGACUAGGAAUUAUUCGGUAUAAUCAUGACCUGUAAUGUUACAAAUGAUGUGGUAAAAGUCCUCAUUGGCCCGUAGUGCAUUGAUGGAAAGUUGUUGGCAUGAUCAUGACCAUUGGUGAUAACAUGAAUAUCCUUGGCCCGUAAUGCAUGGAUAAUUCGUGGAUGUGAUGCUAAUAAAUAUCCUUGGCCCGUAUUGCAUGGACAAUUCAGUGAUGUGGAUUAUUUAUUAAGCUGAGUCUCAGCGAUAAAAUUGAUGAUAAACUUUUAAAUCAUAGAAGAUAGUAGAUAUCAUGCUCAACUUGACUCUUCUAAUGGAUUGUUUGUCCCGCUGUAGUUAAACUUAUUGUCUAUUGUAUUAUAUCAGUUUAACACUGUUGAAGGCUAACGAUAAUUUAUUUUGCAUUAUCUUAGUCAUAAUAUUUCUUACUGGGCUAGUUGAGCUCACCCUUUGCUUUCAUUGUUCUCUUCAGGAAAUGAGAACAUAGCCAGGACUAGUCGGGGAACGGAGUGAUGGUCCGAGAUGGUGGAUAUAGUAGUCCUGACUGUUCUAUGAAAUAGUAUAAUAAUAAUUGUAAUGAGGAAUUUAUUUGAGUUUGGAUACUAUCUACGAGACAAUACCCGUGUUAAAACUCUCAGCUACAUUUUUUAUAUUGUAUAAAUGAAGUUUGUAUUUAAGUUCUGUACCAUGUAUUUGGCGACUCAGAAUGGGUGAUGUAUACCUAUUUUUGGGCCGUCUCAUGCACGACUCACAAUACCCCCAAAAUUGGUAAUAGGACUUCGAAUAUGGUGAUAUAUAAUGAGAAAAAUGUAAGAAUAAACUGCUUACCCUAAGUGUAUUGACAAAUUGAUUGAUUCUCC